AACGAACGCUGGCGGCAGGCCUAACACAUGCAAGUCGAGCGAGGACUUCGGUUCUAGCGGCGGACGGGUGAGUAACGCGUGGGAAUGUGCCCUUCUCUACGGAAUAGCCCUGGGAAACUGGGAGUAAUACCGUAUACGCCCUAUUGGGGAAAGAUUUAUCGGAGAAGGAUCAGCCCGCGUUGGAUUAGGUAGUUGGUGGGGUAAUGGCCUACCAAGCCGACGAUCCAUAGCUGGUUUGAGAGGAUGAUCAGCCACACUGGGACUGAGACACGGCCCAGACUCCUACGGGAGGCAGCAGUGGGGAAUCUGAGACAAUGGGGGCAACCCGGAUCUAGCCAUGCCGCGUGAGUGAUGAAGGCCUUAGGGUUGUAAAGCUCUUUCAGCUGGGAAGAUAAUGACGGUACCAGCAGAAGAAGCCCCGGCUAACUCCGU
rnacentral:rRNA from 1 species